UACGUUUUAGUAUGUGAUGUAUUGAAAUUUUUGAUGUUUCAGGUGGUGGUUUAAUUCCGCCAGACGUAA
rnacentral:tRNA from 1 species